GUUGAGGAAGAUAAUGACGGUACUCAACAAGGAAGUGACGGCUAACUACGUGCCAGCAGCCGCGGUAAAACGUAGGUCACAAGCGUUGUCCGGAAUUACUGGGUGUAAAGGGAGCGCAGGCGGGAGAACAAGUUGGAAGUGAAAUCCAUGGGCUCAACCCAUGAACUGCUUUCAAAACUGUUUUUCUUGAGUAGUGCAGAGGUAGGCGGAAUUCCCGGUGUAGCGGUGGAAUGCGUAGAUAUCGGGAGGAACACCAGUGGCGAAGGCGGCCUACUGGGCACCAACUGACGCUGAGGCUCGAAAGUGUGGGUAGCAAACAGGAUUAGAUACCCUGGUAGUCCACACCGUAAACGAUGAUUACUAGGUGUUGGAGGAUUGACCCCUUCAGUGCCGCAGUUAACACAAUAAGUAAUCCACCUGGGGAGUACGACCGCAAGGUUGAAACUCAAAGGAAUUGACGGGGGCCCGCACAAGCAGUGGAGUAUGUGGUUUAAUUCGACGCAACGCGAAGAACCUUACCAAGUCUUGACAUCCCUUGACGAUGCUGGAAACAGCAUUUCUCUUCGGAGCAAGGAGACAGGUGGUGCAUGGUUGUCGUCAGCUCGUGUCGUGAGAUGUUGGGUUAAGUCCCGCAACGAGCGCAACCCUUAUGGUCAGUUACUACGCAAGAGGACUCUGGCCGGACUGCG
rnacentral:rRNA from 1 species